AGCGGCGAACGGGUGAGUAAAAAGAGAGUAAUCUGCCCCUAGCUCUGGGAUAGCUCCGGGAAACCGGGAUUAAUACCGGAUACGACCCCUUCGGACAUCUGAAGGGGUGGAAAGAUUUAUCGGCUAGGGAUGAGCUCGCGGCCAUCAGCUUGUUGGUGGGGUAACGGCCCACCAAGGCGACGACGGGUAGCCGGCCUGAGAGGGCGACCGGCCACACUGGGACUGAGACACGGCCCAGACUCCUACGGGAGGCAGCAGUGGGGAAUAUUGCGCAAUGGGCGAAAGCCUGACGCAGCGACGCCGCGUGGGGGAUGAAGGCCUUCGGGUUGUAAACCCCUUUCAGCAGGGACGAAGCGAAAGUGACGGUACCUGCAGAAGAAGCGCCGGCUAACUACGUGCCAGCAGCCGCGGUAACACGUAGGGCGCAAGCGUUGUCCGGAUUUAUUGGGCGUAAAGAGCUCGUAGGCGGUCUGUUGCGUCCGCUGUGAAAACUCGGGGCUUAACCCCGAGCCUGCAGUGGA
rnacentral:rRNA from 1 species